rnacentral:rRNA from 1 species
AUGAACUCCGUCUCCAAGGAGGCCCUCACGCAGAUGGUAUCGGUUGAGACGAUGCACGCGGCCUGGACUGUGUUGAAGAACAUGUUCUCUUCACAGUCCCACUCCUGCGUCAACAAUCUUCACACCGCCCUCGCCAGUGCGCAGAAGGGCAAUCAACCUAUUCCCGUCUACUUCUCCCGGAUGCGGUCGCUCGCCGACGAGCUUGCGGCCGCCGGCAGGCCCAUAGAAGACGACGAGCUCAUCUCCUUCAUCCUGGCCGGCCUCUACCUUGACUACAACCCUCUGGUAUCCGCCCUUGAUGCUUGCACUGAGCCUGUUACUCUCGAUGUCCUGUACUCGCAGAUGGCCAACUUCGAUCAGCGGGUGGAGUUGUUCCACGGCUCUAGCAGCAACGGCGGCUUCAAGUCUUCCGCAAACGCUGCAGCUCGCGGGCGGGGCUACCAGCAUGGAUGA